rnacentral:lncRNA from 1 species
UUUUUUUUUUUUUUUUUUUUUUUUUUUUGUGCUUUUUAGGGCCACACCCGAGGCAUAUGGAGGUUGCCAGCCUAGGGGUCAAAUUGGAGCUACAGCUGCCGGCCUAGGCCACAACCACAGCAAUGCCAGAUCCAAGCUGCAUCUGCAACCCACACCACAGCUCACAGCAAUACCAGAUCCUUAACCCACUGACCGAGGCCAGGGCUUGAACCUGCAACAUCAUGGUUCCUAGUCAGAUUCAUUUCCACUUCACCACAAUGGGAAUGCCCUACAAUGCCCUUUAAACAAUCCUUUAUUGAAGGUUCAGUGGUUAAAUGACUAUGCUGGGUCCUUGGGGCAGGGUGACGUGUUGAAGAUGGGUUCUUUUUUUCACUACUGCACUCAUUCUGCUCUGGGCAUAGAAGGUUUUGGCUGUUCCUCCAGCUCAUGAGGGCACUCCUGCCCUCGGACCUAUGGUCUGUACCUGGAGCACUCUGGCCCAGGUAGAUGACCUGCUGCUUCACCUUAUUCAAGUCUUUGCACAUGUGUCACCUUCUAAAUGAGAUGAACUACCUCCCUGAACCACCUCUUUUGAGACUUCAAUCCUCCCUCACAUACCCUGGUGUUCCUUGUUGCCCCUGCUGUGCUUUAUUUUUCUUCAUACAACUUACUCCCGAUAUUUUAAUUAAUUAGCUUAUUGAAUGGACACCCUCACCCCAUCAACUCUAUUACAGCAGAUAUUUUUAUGUGUUUUGUCUACUGAUAUAUGUGCAAAUCAAGGCUGUAAAUGUUCAGUGAAUAUUGGUGAAUGAAUAAAUGAAUGAUUACACGAAUGAAUGAAGGUGAGAAUGGGGGAAAUCACUGUAGCAUGAAGCUUGAGCUAAUAGGAGCCGGGAAGAAGAUAAGUAAUAAGUUAUGGGGCUACAACAGAAAAAGUGAUUCUAACCCAGCAGCAAAUUUUUGGGGAGGCAUGACAGGGAGUGAAACUUCUGAGUUGGUCCACAUAAGAGGAAGCAUGAGAAAAGAGUAAAAUUUUACAUGUGUAGAAGCAAGGGAUUGAGUAAAAGCACAGAUGAACAGUUAGCUGGACAUCUGGAGUUUUGAUGUAUCUUAAGAAUCAGGUGUAUGGAAUUAUGUAGUAAGAAGAGCUAAAAAGCUUCAUGCAUCAGCCAGAUUGUUCUUGGCUGUGAGGACUAAAACCAUGAAUGAAAUGAUAUCCUUAGAACACUGGCAUAAUCAGUUAGACAUCUACUCCCUCUCACAGCUGUACCCCCCUCGCAGGGCUGCCUCAGACUGAGACGAGUUGGCAGCUCAGUGAUACCAUCCAGGACCCACGUUCUUUCCAUCUCUCCACACCCUUCAAACUUUGCAGAAGUUUCCUCCUCAGGUUGAUUCAAAAAUGACUGCUGUGAUUUUAGGCCUCACAUUUUCACUAUUAACAGAGGAAGAAGGUAGACUCUUUUCUCUUCCUGUGGGUUUACCUUAGAAAUGAUAAGCCUUUAUCAGAGGACACUUGGCACACUUUCUUUCACAUGUCAUAGACCAGAGUUGCACCACAAGCCCAUUUCUGAGUAGCUUCUUCAUUUGGAAAUACUCAGCCCAUCUAAUGUCACCAGUCACUGUUCUAGGCAUUAAGAAUAAGAGGGCCCGCUCACCCUCUCCCACAAACACACCAAAAAAACACAUGUACAUGUGGAAGGUUUCACACAGAUCAUCUACUGAAUGCUGGCAGAAGAACUUAAACCUCCAAAAAGGGCAAGAAAUCCUCCACCUAACUGGGUAGAACAAAAGGAAAACACACAAGCUAACAAAAUAUAUGAUGUCAGAUUAGAAAUUCUAUAAACACAAUCAAAGUAGUGUAAGAGACAGGAGCUUUAUCCACUCUCUUGAGAUAAAACAUGAUGGACGAUAAUAUGACAAAAAGAAAAAAAAAGUAUAUAUAUAUAUAUUCAUAUAUAUGUGUGAAUGACUGGGUCACUGUGCCAUACAGCAGAAAUUGACACGACGUGGUAAAUCAAAACUACACUUUAAUGAAAAAUAAAGGGGAAGAGGUUUGGGUUGUGUGGGCAGAGAAAGAGUCUCUGCGGAAAUGACAUUUAAGCAGAGACUUGAGUGAAUUGAAGGAAGGAGCCCUGUGAAGAUCUGAAAAAAGCUCUUUCUAUACAGAGAACAGCCAGUCCAGAGCCCUGAACCAGCAAUGAGUUUGGUAAUGCUCAAGAAACACCGUGGAAGGCGAAGUAGCUAGAACAGAAUAAGACAAGUAGGAUAUGUAAGGAGAUGAGGUGAGAGAAUUUGCAAAGGGAGCAGAUCAUGAUGGGUCCUCUAGGCCUUAGUAAGGAUGCGGGGUUGUAUCCUAAGGCGGAUAGGAAGGCAUUGAAUGAUUUUGAAGAGAAGAGUGGUGUGAUCCAAUUUACAUUUUGAAAGGGAUCACUCUGUCUACAGAGAAAUGAUUGUGGGGAAAAGUGCAGAAGAUGAGAUAGGCGACCGGAGCAGAAG